rnacentral:snRNA from 1 species
AUUGCUUCUCAGCCUUUGGGCUAAGAUUAAGUGUAGUGUUUGUUCUUAUCAG